rnacentral:tRNA from 1 species
GCCGGUGUGGCGGAAUUGGCAGACGCGCGGGACUCAAAAUCCCGUUCCGCUUGUGGAGUGUCGGUUCGACCCCGACCACCGGUA